rnacentral:Y_RNA from 1 species
GGCUGGUCCAAAGGUAGUGAGUUAUCUCAGUUGAUUGUUCACAGUCAGUUACAGAUUGAACUUCUUGUUCUACUACUUUCCCUCCUCCUCACUGCUGUACUUGACUAGUCUAAA